rnacentral:lncRNA from 1 species
UUUGGAUGAAUUGAGAUUACAAUAUGUCCUUUCCUAAACGCUAUCUUAAACCCCAUCUCCCACCAUGGAAGCUAGCCUCCUUUUUCCCAAUCCUUGCCAUGAUAUUCCUGGGCAUGACGUGUCUGAUUGAAUUCUGCAUCUCCACUUCUAAAUCCCCCCCGGAUAAUAGUCUUCGAGCUUUUUCCCUCUUGAUCGUGUGUGGGUGAUUUUUGAGCAACCUUUCUGUGCUGAUGAUGGCGACUUUGGAAGGGCAGCAAUUCCCGAUCCAAGGUAGGUCUCAUCUCUGCUUCAUCUGGGUCUGAGAUUGCCUGAAGAAACAUGUGAGUUUUCUGAAUCUUUGGCUUUGAUUUACGCAAUGGAGAAUGAAAUGGAACAGAACAGGAGAAUGACUGCUCUUAGUGAACGAUUAGGGCACCUUUGGUCUGAUAGAAUAAUUGCAGUAUUAGACAAUGUGGUGACUGAAGAGAAAUUGAAGGACUGGAACGUACCUUACUUGGCCGACUGCAUUGUUGCCCAGCAGUGAACUUUCAAGCAUUUCAGUCAACAAUGAAGAAAGCUUGAAAAUCUGAAAAUAUUUUUGGGACAAGUGCUGCGGAAGUUCUAAAACUUGUCAAAAUGUUUCAUUUGAGUCUUAAAAUUGACGCCGCCUUUUCCGUUAAAAAUGUUGACGUGGUAUUUAAAAUUAAUUUUUAUUUUCCACGUGGCUUUUUAAAUAAUUUUUUAUUCAUUAAAAAAUAGAUUUAAAAAUAAAAAAAAUUAGAUUUAUUCAUUUUAUCUUAUUUUCAAGAAAAAGAAAAAUGAAAACUUAUUUAAAAUAAAUAAAUCUAAUUUUUGUUGAAAAUAAGAUAAAAUGAAUAAAUCUAACUUUUAGUUUUUAAAUCUAUUUAAAAAAAUGAAUAAAAAAAUCAUUAAAAAAAGCCAUGUGAAAAAUAAAAAUUAAUUUUAAAUGCCACGUCAGCAUUUUUAAUGGAAAAUGCUAACGGCGUCAAUUUUAGGAUUCAAAUGAAACAUUUUGACAAGUUUUAUGACUUAUUUGCACUUUUUGCAAGUUGUAGGAUUCAAGUGCAUUUUUGUGAUAAGUUUUAGGACUUCCGCAGUACUUAUCCCAAUAUUUUUUGUAAGCAUCUUGAACCAGGGCUCUUCUGCUUUGUAUUCCCAACAGGAGUAAAAAAACAGGGUACUAAAUUCUGGGCCUUGGUCUUUCUCCGGUCACCUAUUGAUCCUCAAAUCUUGGGAGCCAUGUAUUCCCCCGCAUUGUGUUGUAUUUAAUUCCUGUGCCUUCUAGAUGCAUAUUCAAGGGCUGCCUAUUGAGGGCAGAACAGAAGAAGUAAUUAAAAGCGUAGCUUAGAACAUUGGCAUAGUUUUAUCAGUGAAAAUUGAAUCGAAGGGCUACUCAUCAUUAAAUAUGGGAAAAGCAAGAGUUAUGUUAAAGCUCAAGUCCCCACUCUUGUCAGGCGUGAUUUCAAGCUCCAAAAGCAGAGAACAUUGGUUAGAUUUUCGCUAUGAAAGACUUCCUUACUUUUGUUACUUGUGUGGUAGGAUAAGACAUUAGGCCAAAAACUAUGAGGAAAUAUCAUAUGAUGAAGAUUUUUUUUUUCCACAAAUGAUCACGUGCUUUAUGGUUCAUGGCUAAAAGCCAAGAUAAAUACUAAUAGCCCCUUUUUGGAAAGCUUUUUUAUGGAGCAUUUUCUGAGGAAUACAUGGAAGAGGAGAGUGUUCCAGAAACUCCAAACAAUUUGGGACAAAUUACUGUGUUCCAACAGGAAUUUAGCAGUCCACAAAUGCCGGAAAGAAGGUCUGAGGAAGACAAGGGAAAAAGGAAAAUUGCAGCCAGCGAGAGCUUUACCUUUAAAAAAACCCAAGCAUUUGAGGAUGGUGAAAUCAUGGAAUCAGUCCUUCCUCUAGUAUUGGAGCUCCUUUCAUCUCAGUGCAGUGGUACCUUGCAGCAAAAUAAAAAUAAAAAUAAAAAGCCAAAAGUGAGAGAAACUAAGAAAAUAAGAUGAUACAGUCCCUAUUAUAAACAGAUUUUUGACAUGCAGAAUUUAGAUGAAACUCAACUUUUGGAGAACCUAGUACCUGCAACAGAGGAAACAACAAAAUAGGCUUUGAUGGCUGGCCCUAAUAAGCCAUCGGGUAACAAAUUAAGCUUCUUUCUUGGAACUAUCAAGGAUUGGGCAUAACUUUGACAAUUCAAGCUUUAAGGGCCAUUGUGGCUCAAUAACAGCCCAACUUGGUGUCCUUAAUGGAGACAAAAAAAUCAAGAGUUGGUAAUGUAAUGUGUCCAUAGAUAGUUAAAGUUCCAAUUUCAAUUUUUGAUGAACCUAGUAGGGAUUACGGGGGAUUUGGCCUUAUUGUGGAAGGAUGGUGUCUCAAUUUCUAUUAAUUCAGCCACCAACAAAUUCCUUGAUGUACUUUACGAGGAUACAGAACAGAGAACACCUUUUAGGGCAACAUUUGUUCAUGCCCCAGCAACUUUCCAGGAGUGACUACACAAAUGGGAAAAGCUUCAACAAAUACUUGCAGUUUGAUGGAUAUGGAAAGUAAGGGAUGUGCAUUUACAUGGGCAAAUAACUGUGAAUGAGACGAGUUCUGAAAAAGAGAUUAAAUAGAGCCAUGUGUAAUUUUGAAUGGAGAAUAUUGUUCUCUAAAGCUGAAGUGUUUGCUUUGCCUGCGAUAGGCUCAAACCAUAACCCAAUCUUACCCUCCCUAUUAGUUGAACCGGUAAAGAGGAAAAAAAAAAAGCCUUCAUAUUUGAGGCUUUUUGGUUGUAAAACGAGGAUUGUAGCAGGACCAUUAAGGACACUUGGAAUGAACCUGGCCUGGUUAGUGAGGAUCCGGUACAGAAAUUAAAAGCUGUGUCAUCAGCUUUAGCCAAAUGGAGUAGGAUAACUUUUCCAAACAACCAGAAGCUGAUUAAUGGCUUGAAAGAUGAGCUACAAGGAGAAAUUAAUUUCCAGAACUUAUCCACAAACAGAAAUAUACAGCAGGAACUUGCAAAACAAAUAGAGAAUCUGUGGAGAAGAGAAGAGAUGCAUUGGGGCUUGAGAUCGAGAAUUGAGAGGCUGAAGUGGGGUGAUAAAAGCACAAAAUAUUUCCAUGCUACAACCAUUCAAAGAAGGCAGCGAAAUAAAAAUUUUAUGCUGAAAAAUGCAGAUGAUACUUGGACCCAAGACCCAGCAAGACUGAAGGUAAUAACAAUGGAGUUUUUUAAAAAAUCUGUGCUGCUCACAAGGCCCUCGUAAUUUCGAUCCUAUGCUUCAACAGUGUCCUACUUUAGUUAUUGAUGAGAUGAACUAGGCCUUAUCAUCGGAGAUCACUCUACUAGAAGUCUAGAAUGUUGUUUUCCAAAUGGGUGCUUUGAAAGCUCAUGGGUCGGAUGGCUUGAGUGGCUAGUUCUACCAUCAUAACUGGGAGAACAUUAUAAUGGGUGUCUUUGAGGAAGUGAAGCGCUUCUUUAUUUCUGGUUAUCUCAACCAGAGAUAAACAGAACUCAUGUCACACUAAUCCCAAAAGUCUAGAAUCCAGAAAAACUGGAUCAAUUUAGACUGAUCAGCCUUUGUAACUUUGCUUUCAAAAUUAUCUCAAAGGUAUUAGCUAAUGGAUUAAAACCUUGGCCACCAAAUAUAAUAGCAGGUGAACAAAGUGCAUUCGUGGGAGGAAGGCAAAUCCAAAACAAUAUACUGGUGGUAUAAGAGGUACUUCAUCAAUUGAGAGUGAGGAAAAGGAAGAAAAUUUUUUAAGCUAUACUGAAACUUGGUAUGAACAAAGCAUACGAUAGAGUCGAGUUAGACUUCUUGGUGGCUUGCUUAGUAAAAAUGGGAUUCUGUUCAUUAUGGGUGGAGAGAGUUAUGAAUUGUGUCACUUCGGCAUCAGUUGUCUGAGAAUAUGCUGGAAUGUGUAUUUUGUUAUGGUUUUUUUUUUUUUUUUUGCUUUGUCAUCGAACGCACAUAGCCCUGACCUUGGCUACGAAAAAGGGGAAAAAAAAUCAGUACGACAAGAAUUUUGUGCUCACUCUUUCUCCUACAUGUAUUGAAGAUGUUCGCAUUCCUGUUGGAUCGACGCCA